ACCGUAAACCAAAGAAAACCUAGCAACCAUUGCCUCUCUCACGGAGCAAUUAAGAACCAACCUCUCCCCUUCCCUCUUCCUAUCUCUCUUCAGCUCAACGACAACUUCAUAGUACCAUAAACUCUCUCUUUCUCUCUCUCAAUGGCACGAUAGAAUCACCCCACCCACGAUCAGCACAUAUCCACCCAACAGAUGUCGCCUCUAAAGAUGAAGAACCCCCAUAGAUGUUGCAUUUGAAGACGAAGCGACCAAAGGUAUUUUUAUAACCUCUCACUGUGAUGCUUGUAGGCUUUGAAAUCUUAAUUACUCCAUGAACAAUCACAGAUGUGAAAUUUAAUUUCUGUGAAUGGUUGUAUUUGUAGUGGGGCUAAAGUUUAGGUCAGGACUGGGGAUCUAAAGCUAAAGAUGAUCUCUUGACUACGAUAUGACAAUAUAAACUAAGGGUAAGGCAGCAGCAAGGAGAAGACCAAGACCCACUACAACCAUGCUUGAUUGAUGGAUUCAAGCAUUCUAUUUUGUUUAUUUUUUUUUCUAUCACCACCUACUUGGUUAUAUGAAAGAUUAUCUAUUUGGUAGUAUGGAUGACAGAAAUAACUUUAAUAUUUUGGAUAGUUAAGUACC